rnacentral:rRNA from 1 species
AUUGAACGCUGGCGGCAUGCUUUACACAUGCAAGUCGAACGGUAACAGGCCGCAAGGUGCUGACGAGUGGCGAACGGGUGAGUAAUGCAUCGGAACGUGCCCAGUCGUGGGGGAUAACUACUCGAAAGAGUAGCUAAUACCGCAUACGAUCUAUGGAUGAAAGCGGGGGACCGUAAGGCCUCGCGCGAUUGGAGCGGCCGAUGUCAGAUUAGGUAGUUGGUGGGGUAAAGGCUCACCAAGCCAACGAUCUGUAGCUGGUCUGAGAGGACGACCAGCCACACUGGGACUGAGACACGGCCCAGACUCCUACGGGAGGCAGCAGUGGGGAAUUUUGGACAGUGGCGCAAGCCUGAUCCAGCAAUGCCGCGUGCAGGAAGAAGGCCUUCGGGUUGUAAACUGCUUUUGUACGGAACGAAACGGCUCUGGUUAAUACCCGGGGCUAAUGACGGUACCGUAAGAAUAAGCACCGGCUAACUACGUG